rnacentral:rRNA from 1 species
GACCUCAGGUCAGGCGGGGCUACCCGCUGAGUUUAAGCAUAUCAAUAAGCGGAGGAAAAGAAACUAACAAGGAUUCC